rfam:Ictidomys tridecemlineatus contig025151, whole genome shotgun sequence.
GGGGAGGUAGCUCAGUGGUAGAGCACUUGCCUGGCAUAUGCAUAAGCCCUGGGUUCAAUCCCCAGCACCA